CAAUACGAAUAAUGUUAAUGCCUUUACA
rnacentral:sRNA from 1 species